GCGACUGACGGGCAAGGGGCGGCGGGAGUACGGAGGGGGCAAGGGUGGUCCGGAUUGAUUGGGCGUAAAGAGGGUGUAGGCGGCCUGGUAGGUCAGCUGUGAAAACUCGAGGCUCAACCUCGAGACGUCGGUUGAAACCACCUGGCUAGAGUCCGGAAGAGGAGAGUGGAAUUCCCGGUGUAGCGGUGAAAUGCGCAGAUAUCGGGAAGAACACCCGUGGCGAAGGCGGCUCUCUGGGACGGUACUGACGCUGAGACGCGAAAGCGUGGGGAGCGAACAGGAUUAGAUACCCCUGUAGUC
rnacentral:rRNA from 1 species